CUAUGCCUAGCCGUAAACUUUUAAUUACCCCCCCCCCAUCGCCCGGGAACUACGAGCCAAGCUUAAAACCCAAAGGACUUGACGGUACCCCAUAUCCAUCUAGAGGAGCCUGUCCUAUAAUCGAUAACCCCCGCUUAACCCCACCAUUUUUAGUUAAUCAGCCUGUAUACCUCCGUCGUCAGCUUACCACGUGAGCGACAUAAAGUGAGCUUAAUGUCCACUCGCCAUUACGUCAGGUCAAGGUGCAGCAAAUAAAAUGGAAAGAGAUGUGCUACACUUUCUAACAUAGAAAACACGAAAGAUUACCUAUGAAACCUAAUCAGAAGGCGGAUUUAGUAGUAAAAAAAGAUCAGAAAACUCUUUUUAACUUGGCACUGGGGUGUGUACACACCGCCCGUCACCCUCUUCAAAGCUUAUAAAUAGUUAUUAACCAAUCGCUGCUACACAGAAGAGGCAAGUCGUAACAUGGUAAGUAUACCGGAAGGUGUGCUUGGAAA
rnacentral:rRNA from 1 species